UGGGGGAAAAUUAAUAUAAUAAAAUAAAUAAUAAAAAUAAUUAUAAAAAAUAAUUAAUGGGGGUUAAAGUAUUUUUUAGAAAAAAUUUAUUAAUUUAUAGUUUAAUAGUAUUGUGAAAGAAUUUUGAAAUAAAGUUAAAUAUGGAUUAUUAUUUAAGUAAAUUUAAUUUAUUGUAUCUUGUGUAUCAGAGUUUAUUAAUAAAAUAUUUUUAAAUAAAAAUAUCUCGAAUUUAAAAGAGAUAGUUAAUUAUUAAAGUUAAUGUGGCAUAAUUAUUUUAAAUAAUUAAUUUGAAAUGAAAUGUUAAUCGUUUUUAAAAAUAUCUAGUUUUUUUAGAAAAAAAUUUAAUUUUAAAUUAAUUUAAUAAUUUUUUAAAUUUGUUAUAUAAAAUUAUAUAUUUAAUUAAAUAUUUUAAGGGAUAAGCUUUAAAUUAAAUUUUUAUAAUAUUAAUAAAUUAUUUAAAUAUUUUAAAAUUUAUAUUUUUUAUAAAUUAUAAUUUUUUAUAAAUAAUUUUAUUUAUUUUAAAAUUUAAAUUUAUAUUUAAAUUUAUAUAAAAAAAUAAUUUUUAAUAAUAAAAAAUUAGUUAUAAUUAUAAAAUUAGUAUAUAAAAAAAAAAUUAAAUAAAAUUAAUUAAAAUUAAUAAAAAGGAAUUCGGCAAAAAU
rnacentral:rRNA from 1 species